AGAGUUUGAUCCUGGCUCAGGACGAACGCUGGCGGCGUGCUUAACACAUGCAAGUCGAACGGUAAGGCGCUUUCGGGCGUACACGAGUGGCGAACGGGUGAGUAACACGUGAGGAACGUGCCCUUGACUUUGGUAUAGCACUUGGAAACAGGUGGUAAUCCCGAAUAUUCAGUUUCCCGGGCAUCCGGGUUGUUGGAAAGCUUUUUGCGGUCAGGGAUCGUCUCGCGGCCUAUCAGCUUGUUGGUGGGGUAGUGGCCCACCAAGGCCUUGACGGGUAGCCGGCCUGAGAGGGCGACCGGCCACAUUGGGACUGAGAUACGGCCCAGACUCCUACGGGAGGCAGCAGUGGGGAAUAUUGCACAAUGGGCGGAAGCCUGAUGCAGCAACGCCGCGUGCGGGAUGACGGCCUUCGGGUUGUAAACCGCUUUCACCCAUGACGAAGCGCGAGUGACGGUAGUGGGGGAAGAAGCACCGGCCAACUACGUGCCAGCAGCCGCGGUGAUACGUAGGGUGCGAGCGUUGUCCGGAAUUAUUGGGCGUAAAGAGCUUGUAGGCGGUUGAUCGCGUCGAUAGUGAAAUCCCGGGGCUCAACCUCGGGCUUGCUGUCGAUACGGGUUGACUUGAGGAAGGUAGGGGAGAAUGGAACUCCCGGUGGAGCGGUGGAAUGCGCAGAUAUCGGGAAGAACACCGGUGGCGAAGGCGGUUCUCUGGACCUUUCCUGACGCUGAGAAGCGAAAGCGUGGGGAGCAAACAGGCUUAGAUACCCUGGUAGUCCACGCUGUAAACGGUGGGUACUAGGUGUGGGUCGCAUUCCACGUGAUCCGUGCCGUAGCCAACGCAUUAAGUACCCCGCCUGGGGAGUACGGCCGCAAGGCUAAAACUCAAAGGAAUUGACGGGGCCCCGCACAAGCGGCGGAGCAUGCGGAUUAAUUCGAUGCAACGCGAAGAACCUUA
rnacentral:rRNA from 1 species